AGUGAACGCUGGCGGUAGGCCUAACACAUGCGAGUCGAACGGCAGCACAGGAGAGCUUGCUCUCUAGGUGGCGAGUGGCGGACGGGUGAGGAAUACAUCGGAAUCUGCCCAGUCGUGGGGGAUAACGUAGGGAAACUUACGCUAAUACCGCAUACGACCUUCGGGUGAAAGAGGGGGAUCGCAAGACCUCUCGCGAUUGGAUGAGCCGGUGUCGGAUUAGCUAGUUAGGGGGGUAAUGGCCCACCCAGGCGACGAUCCGUAGCUGGUCGGAGAGGAUGAUGCGCCCACACGGAAACUGGACACCGACCCGGACCCUAAGGGAGGGCGCAGGGGGGAAAUGUUGGCAACGGGGGGAAAGCUUGAUCAAGCCGACCGCGGGGGGUGAAGAAGCCCUUCGGGUUGUAGGGCCCUUUUGUGGGAAAAAAAUCCUUUCGGCUUAAACCCCGGGAGGAUGACGGUACCCAAAGAAUAAGCACCGGCUAACUUCGUG
rnacentral:rRNA from 1 species